rnacentral:rRNA from 1 species
UCGGUCUAUUGGGGACUUAACAAUACUGUCAAAUAUUCCACCAAGUCUAUCUACAAAUGGUUGGAAAAGCGAUUAAGUGGUUGUAGCUACAAAUGGAUUUGGGAAGACAAGAUCCCAUUGAAAAUCCAGAUUUACUUAUGGCAAGAGUUCCAGAAUGCGGUGCUCACUAGGCAAGUGAUGCAACGAUGUAAGGGCAUGUACAAUGGUUCUAUCUUAGCAAUGCCACGUAGGAUAAAUGAUGAGGUGGAAGAGAGAGAAAUCAUAAGAGAAGGCUUGUCUUCUCUUAAUUAA